GCUAAUACCGCAUGAUGCCUACGGGCCAAAGAGGGGGACCUUCGGGCCUCUCGCGUCAGGAUAUGCCUAGGUGGGAUUAGCUAGUUGGUGAGGUAAGGGCUCACCAAGGCGACGAUCCCUAGCUGGUCUGAGAGGAUGAUCAGCCACACUGGAACUGAGACACGGUCCAGACUCCUACGGGAGGCAGCAGUGGGGAAUAUUGCACAAUGGGCGCAAGCCUGAUGCAGCCAUGCCGCGUGUAUGAAGAAGGCCUUCGGGUUGUAAAGUACUUUCAGUCG
rnacentral:rRNA from 1 species